GACGAACGCUGGCGGCGUGCCUAAUACAUGCAAGUAGGACGCAGUUGCGAGCGGGUGAGUAACGCGUAGGUAACUACCUAUUAGAGGGGGAUAACUAUUGGAAACGAUAGCUAAUACCGCAUACUAGUAGAUGGACCUGCGUUGUAUUAGCUAGUAGGUAGGGUAAAGGACUACCUAGGCAACGAUACAUAGCCGGCCCGGGAGGGUGGUCGGCCACACUGGGACUGAGACACGGCCCAGACUCCUACGGGAGGGAGCAGUAGGGAAUCUUCGGCAAUGGGGGGAACGCUGACCAAGCAACGCCGCGGGAGUGAAGAAGGUUUUCGGAUCGUAAAGCUCUGUUGUUAAGGAAGCGGUACUUAACCAGAAAGGGACGGCUAACUCCGUGCCAGCAGCCGCGGUAAUAC
rnacentral:rRNA from 1 species